GGCCCAAAGUUAUGAGAACCUGGACGCCGCAGAUGAUCAGACUGAUCGGACUGAUCAGACUGAUCAGAUCGUCCACGAGCAGGACGUCCCAGACUACGAGCAGGUUGACCAGGACGUCCCGGACUACGAGCAGGACGUCCCACACUACGAGCAGGACGUCCCAGACUACGAGCAGGUUGACCAGGACGUCCCGGACUGCGAGCAGGACGUCCCAGACUACGAGCAGGUUGACCAGGACGUCCCAGACUGCGAGCAGGACGUCCCGGAAUACGAGCAGGACGUCUCAGACUACGAGCAGGUUGACCAGGACGUCCCGGACUGCGAGCAGGACGUCCCAGACUACGAGCAGGUUGACCAGGACGUCCCAGACUACGAGCAG
ensembl:lncRNA